rnacentral:rRNA from 1 species
GGGUCGGUCAGGGGCUUCUCACUUUCCGGCAGAAGCAGAGCUGAACGAAGGGGAGGCUCUCUGGCUGGACGGGGGUAGGUUAGGUAGGUGAAAGGACGUUUCCCAAUCCCCUCUCCGUCCCUAAGCCGAGGCGAGGUGCGGUUCUCAUCGUUCCUAGAGACUAAGACUAAACUCUCGCCGUUCGUAGCUUAGUCGGCUGUCCUCCUCCAGAGCAAGUGGCUGGGUCGUCGUCGGUACUCACGGUACUUCAAAACGGCACUUACCAUUCGGGUUCGACGAAAGGAGCAACAACGGAACAAACCCGGUACCUAAACUGGCCGUCUAGGCAAGGUAAGAGAGAAAAAACCCCUCGGCGUCGUUGUUGUAGAACAUAGGGUUCCUCCUGUCCCUGGUCUUCCACGAGGAGAAGCGGACGUCCUUGACGCUGGUGGUCCUCCAGCGUCUGUUGUUGACACAGAUGGCCUUGCACCACGUGGUGUCGCGACCUCUCAAGUGGGUCCACGAGGUCCUGCAGCGUCCACUGGGUUGGGAAGGGGCGUGGUUCCUUCAGGCGACGCGGCAGACACCGGUACCGCUUCGACAGAAGAAGGUCCGGUGGCGCUCUCCCCUCCUCCCCUACUGCGAGAAGAAGCAGACGACGUUGGGCUCGACGCCGGUAGCUACCUCUCUUACUACACAGGUAGUCGGUUUACUACUACUUAAGGAGACUACGUUGUCAGACUCUCUCUACAAAAAAGAAAGAAGGGUUCUCUACAAAAAGGGUCAUCGUACUUAACCGACAUACAAAGUCUACAUAACUCCGCCGUAUAGUAAAAGUAUUGAGUUACUCCUUUUUUGUUGGCUCGGGUGGCCCCAUUUUUAUAGGGACACCAGGUAACGUAAUUAGUUUCCUACGAUACUCCUGUAAAAAGAGAAGCACCAAACAAGGGAAGACGUGAAGACGUCAUCGAACUCGUCAUUUAAAGUUCUUUUGUACAAAGGAAAAAGUUUAUUUUUUUGCUUCUUUCCUUGUACAAGACUUAUAAAAGUAAGUACGGUCGUUUGCUACUCGACUCCUUGAAGUUCAUACAAAAUAAAUGUAGCCGACAACACAAAAUCAAGUAGUACC